UCUUUCUACACUCACUUCUCUCUCUAAAUUCUCUCUACUCUCUCUCUAGAUGAAGAUCCGACAACCUCCGACGGAGGUCCGGCGGCGAACUUUCCGGCGACUGUUUUCCGACCAAAGGUACACUUUUCCUACUAAUUUUGACGUUCCUGACACCAUGGUGAGGUCCGUUUUGUCUAAUUUGGAACGAUUUGAGCCUUAUAAAAAUUCGGAGAGAAUUCCGACGAGUUUGUUUUCAAGUUUUCUCUUCAUGCAUGUCAAGAUCUUACCUUUAGGAGACUCCACACAAGUUUUUGGGUCAAUCUAUUUUCCGGCGAAAUUCCGGGAAUUAAUAGGUGAAUACCUAUUUGAGUUGGGCUUUUGGUAGCAAACUUAUAGCCCACCCAAAGGUACAUAAGUGGCUUCGGAGAGAUGUGGGGUUAGGACAACUUUUAAAAAUGGACAAUAAUAAAGUUUGUGUCAUGGUACACGAGAUGGAACUUUUUGAACAUAAACACUUUAAACUAUACAAGUUGGGAUGAUUUGUAACAACUUUAAACUAUUUUGUCUAUUUUUAUAAUUAUCUAUGUAUGACCUAUAAUUGUUGGUUGCCAACCUCUGUCACUACCAUGCUUGUCUUCCGCUGCGGUUUUUGGGAUGAGGCUGAUUUUGUGAAGAAAAUAUAGUCUUCGUACAUAACCUUAAACCUGACACCACUCUCCUCUGUAUAACAUCACAAUAAAAGAUUUAUCCUUUUUAAACGCGAAACCCCUCAAAAUGGAUACAGGAGCUUGAUUUGAAGGUGAUUUGGGCUUCUUUUCUUGCAUUCAUCAUUCAUUAGGUAUUCAUUAAUGUGGUUUCAGGUCAAAGAAUUAAAAGUUUAAUUUGAUAUAUUUCAUUUUACAGGGGACUUAUAGAAAUUGGUGAUAUUUUCCCAGUGUGUUACGAUGCUUUAUAGAAUCGAAAUGCGAAAAAAACAUCAUGAAUGUUUGGCUUUGUCUCCGCAAUCACUGAUAAAUGUACAUUGUCGCAGUUUAAGAACUCUUGGACGCCAUCUAAAGGCGCCUAAAGGACUCUACAAAAUAACAAAACAACAAGUCCUGUUGGAUAAUCUUGAUGUUUCGGGCCGAGUAUGUACAAAGUUGGUUACGGGAUAGAGAUAGAACGGGUUACAAGAAAAAGUCUAAAGUUGACCGAGUUUUAUGUAUGUGAACGAUAGAAUUAGGUAGCGAACAGGAAGGCGAUCGUGGUGUUAUGGAAGUGAAUAAUUGUAAUUUAUUCAAAAUGAGGCUGAUUUUGUGAAGAAAAUAUUGUCUUCGUACAUAACCUUAACCCUGGCACCACUCUCCUCUCUAUAUAGCAUCACAGUAAAAGAUUCAUCUUUUUUAAUCGUGACAACCCCACAAAAUGGAUACAAGAGCUUGAUUUCAAGGUGAUUUGGGCUUCUUUUCUUGCAUUCAUCAUUCAUUAGGGUUUGCUACUUAUGGAGGAAGAUCAGCCGAUUGAGGGAGAAGAUCAACCGCUUGAG